GGGGCCUUGGCUCCGUGGUAGAGCCCCUGCUUGGCACGCAGGAGGUCGGAGGUUCGAUCUCUGACGUCUCCA
rnacentral:tRNA from 1 species